rnacentral:tRNA from 1 species
UCCUGAUGGCUCAAGGGGUAAAGAAUUUGCCUGCAAUGCAAGAGACACAGGUUCGAUUCCUGGGUCAGGAA